GAUGAACGCUGGCGGCGUGCCUAAUACAUGCAAGUCGAGCGAACAGACGAGGAGCUUGCUCCUCUGACGUUAGCGGCGGACGGGUGAGUAACACGUGGAUAACCUACCUAUAAGACUGGGAUAACUUCGGGAAGCCGGAGCUAAUACCGGAUAAUAUAUUGAACCGCAUGGUUCAAUAGUGAAAGACGGUUUUGCUGUCACUUAUAGAUGGAUCCGCGCCGCAUUAGCUAGUUGGUAAGGUAACGGCUUACCAAGGCAACGAUGCGUAGCCGACCUGAGAGGGUGAUCGGCCACACUGGAACUGAGACACGGUCCAGACUCCUACGGGAGGCAGCAGUAGGGAAUCUUCCGCAAUGGGCGAAAGCUUGACGGAGCAACGCCGCGUGAGUGAUGAAGGUCUUCGGAUCGUAAAACUCUGUUAUUAGUGAAGAACAAAUGUGUAAGUAACUAUGCACGUCUUGACGGUACCUAAUCAGAAAGCCACGGCUAACUACGUG
rnacentral:rRNA from 1 species